rnacentral:rRNA from 1 species
UACGAAGGGUGCAAACGUUGCUCGGAAUUAUUGGGCGUAAAGCGCACGUAGGCGGCUUUGCAAGUCCCAUGUGAAAUCCCACGGCUUAACCGUGGAAGUGCAUGGGAAACUGCAGUGCUUGAGUACUUAAGAGGAUCGCGGAAUUCCCGGUGUAGAGGUGAAAUUCGUAGAUAUCGGGAGGAACACCAGUGGCGAAGGCGGCGAUCUGGGAAGAUACUGACGCUGAGGUGCGAAAGCGUGGGGAGCAAACAGG